CCUCCCAUGCCUCUCAUGGAAGCACAAACAGGGAGGU
rnacentral:ncRNA from 1 species